AAAUGAACUCUGACUUAAAGGCUCAGCUGCGGGAGUUGAACAUCACAGCAGCUAAGGAAAUUGAAGUGCGUGGUGGCAGAAAAGCCAUCAUUAUCUUUGUACCAGUUCCUCAGCUGAAAUCUUUCCAGAAGAUUCAGGUGCGGCUAGUUCGUGAGCUGGAGAAGAAAUUCAGUGGAAAGCAUGUGGUGUUCACUGCUCAGAGAAGGAUUCUGCCUAAGCCAACACGAAAAAGCCACGUAAAAAACAAGCAAAAGCAUCCCAGGAGCCGUACACUCACUGCAGUGCACGAUGCCAUUCUUGAAGACCUGGUUUUCCCAAGUGAAAUUGUGGGCAAGAGAAUCCGUGUAAAACUGGAUGGCAGCAGGCUCAUAAAAGUCCAUUUGGGCAAAGCACGACAGAACAAUGUUGAACACAAGGAGGAAACAUUUUCUGGUGUCUACAAGAAGCUCACAGGCAAAGAUGUGGUAUUUGAAUUUCCAGAAUUCCAGCUGUAAAGGGCAAAAAAU